rnacentral:lncRNA from 1 species
CAGCUGGGCAGUUCUGCUGGUCUCACGCCAGGGCCACCCUUGUGGCUGGGAAAUGACUGGGCUAAGGAGCGUCUACUAUCUUCCUGAUAUAUCUUACCGCUUAUAAUUUUUUAAAUAUUGUUAUUUUGGGUUUUCCAGGUGAAUGCAAUUUCAUGGAGGUUGAGGGCAAAAACAAAAUUGAACACAGUUGGAAGAUAAAUUGCAGGGAGGACACUGCAGCAGUGUGUACCACUUUACCCCAAAGCUUGAGAGUGAAGAAGAGAGAAAUAGGAGGAUCAUUCAAG